rnacentral:rRNA from 1 species
UGAAUACGAGACGCUAAGGCGUCGAAGUAGUGUAUGUCAUACUUCCAAGAAAAGCUUGCACUGUCAUAAGUAAAAAAUGCCUGUACCAUAACCGACACAGGUGGGUAGGUAGAGUAUACUUAGGGGCGCGAGAUAACUCUCUCUAAGGAACUCGGCAAAAUAACUCCGUAACUUCGGGAGAAGGAGUACCUUAUUCUAUAAGGUUGCAAUAACAAGAUCCAAGCAACUGUUUAUCAAAAACACAGGUCUCCGCUAAGUCGUAAGACGAUGUAUGGGGGCUGACGCCUGCCCAGUGCCAGAAGGUUAAAGAAGUCGGUUAGCAUUAGCAAGCUGGUAACUGAAGCCCUGGUGAACGGCGGCCGUAACUAUAACGGUCCUAAGGUAGCGAAAUUCCUUGUCGGGUAAGUUCCGACCCGCACGAAAGGCGUAAUGAUUUGGAUACUGUCUCGGAGAGGGGCUCGGUGAAAUAGACUUGUCUGUGAAGAUGCGGACUACCUGCACCAGGACAGAAAGACCCUAUGAAGCUUUACUGUAACUUGAAAUUGAAAUUGGACUUUAUUCGCGCAGUAUAGGUGGGAGGUGUUGAUUAUAAUCUUGCGGGAUUAUUGGAGCCAUCAGUGAGAUACCACUCUUGUAAUGUUAGGUUUCUAACUUUGAAUCAUUAUCUGGUCAAAGGACAGUUUCAGGCGGGCAGUUUGACUGGGGCGGUCGCCUCCCAAACGGUAACGGAGGCGUACAAAGGUUUCCUCUGAACGGGUAGAAAUCGUAUCUAGAGUGUAAAGGCAUAAGGAAGCUUGACUGUGAGACCUACAAGUCGAACAGGGACGAAAGUCGGUCUUAGUGAUCUGACGGUACUGAGUGGAAAGGCCGUCACUCAACGGAUAAAAGUUACUCUAGGAUAACAGGCUGAUCUCCCCCAAGAGUUCACAUCGACGGGGAGGUUUGGCACCUCGAUGUCGGCUCAUCGCAUCCUGGGGCGGUAGUACGUCCCAAGGGUUGGGCUGUUCGCCCAUGAAAGCGGUACGCGAGCUGGGUUCAGAACGUCGUGAGACAGUUCGGUCCAUAUCCGGUGUAGGCGUUAGAAUAUUGAGAGGAGCCUUCUUUAGUACGAGAGGACCGAGAAGGACAUACCUCUGGUGUACCAGUUAUCGUGCCAACGGUAAACGCUGGGUAGCUAUGUAUGGAGCGGAUAACCGCUGAAAGCAUCUAAGUGGGAAGCCCACCUCAAGAUAAGUAUUC